CGCAGAACGGAGGAGCAAGGUUCCCCGAUGCGGCGCGAAGCGCCCGAGGGGAGGAAAUCGGGAAUGCGGAAGGGGCCGAUCCAGUCAGGAGGCCCGUGGCCGCAGCCGCCCCCGCGACUGUGAGCGGCGAGCGUCCCCCCGAAACCACUGGGAGCGAUCCCGGGAAGGUGGGGGCACGUCACGACCCGCGAGCCAGGAGACCGGCCCUGCGUGACGCAACCCAA
rnacentral:ncRNA from 21 species